CCUACGGGUGGCAGCAGUGAGGAAUAGUGGUCAAUGGGCGCGAGCCUGAACCAGCCAAGUCGCGUGAGGGAAGACGGUCCUAUGGAUUGUAAACCGCUUUUGUCGGGGAGCAAAAGACGGCACGCGUGGCGGUCCGAGAGUACCCGAAGAAAAAGCAUCGGCUAACUCCGUGCCAGCAGCCGCGGUAAUACGGAGGAUGCGAGCGUUAUCCGGAUUUCUUGGGUUUAAAGGGUGCGCAGGCGGAAGGUUAAGUCAGCGGUAAAAUUGAGAGGCUCAACCGCGUCGAGCCGUUGAAACUGGGUUUCUUGAGUGAGUGAGACGUCUGCGGAAUGCGUGUUGUAGCGG
rnacentral:rRNA from 1 species